ensembl:lncRNA
ACUCCACAUGUGUGCCAGGUGACCCCUUGCGCAUUAGGUGGACCCCAGAAGCAUUUCCGCUGAACACUGAUGAUGAAGCGGUUUACCUGCGUCCAGAGUUUAACACAUCACUGCAUCUGACACUCUGAAGUGUACUACACAUGACGGCACCAAACCAACCUCAUCUUCCUGUAAUGCUGGAGUGUAAAACUCAAAAACUGACACUGUGAUACUGUGAAUAUUACCAUGUAAAACCAGACCAUGUUUUCAAACUAGACUGUUCUGUUUAAAAUAAAAAUAGUGCUAUACUUUGUAGAUUUUAAUUACUAUUAAUGAAGUAACACAUAGUACCUCAGUAUAAGCCUGCUUACUCAGUCACACCCAAAUACACUCAAUGCCGACCACCACCAUGACGUACCGCAUGCCAAACUUCACUCUGGAGCAGAAGCUUUUCCUGCUUCGGAGAAUCCAUGCGGUGGUGGACACAGUGCAGGACUUUCGGAAAGACACCAACACUACUGUGCACCGGAACGCUGUAUGGGCAGAGCUGGCCCAGGCCUUCAAUGCGGCGUUCCCUAGUCGACCCCCCAGCAGCAUCGGGUCUCUGAAGACACUGUGGAAACGUCUGAAGGUGGAAUGUCGUGUAGCACUGCAGAAGCGACAGGAGCAGCAGACAGCUGGGCUUCCUGUGUCUGCCCUCACGCAGGUGCAGAGAGAAGUGAUUGCUCUGGUACCAAACCUGAUCUCCUGUCUGGAGGAGGUAGACGGAGAUGGCAGCUAUAGCUCAGUUAGGGGUGGCUCACCUGGAGCAGUGAUGGGGCUUUCAGGCACUAAUGGGAGUGAGCAUGAAGAUGCUGACCACAGUCAAAAUGAUGAAGUAGACAGCAAGGAGUAUUUAGCUACUGAACUUGGAUUGUUCUCACCAACUCACCCACCUGUUAACUCUGGGAUUCCUCCUGGCACUGCCUCCUCUCCUCUCCACUCACAUUUAGUCUCUUCCAGGUCCAGCCGUCCAUUCCUCAUCUUCCCAACCCAUGCAGGAAGCACCUCAGGGCUGAGAUCAGGGACUAGGGGUGCAAACUUUGAUACCCCACACAGAGAGCCUGCAGUGCCACGUGCUCCUGCCGGAGGAGCAGCUGAGAAUUCAUUACCGCCAAUGGACUCUUAUACCUCAAAUUUAAAAUGGGAGCCACGUCGACAGGAACGGUUUGAGCUGGAGCAUCAGCAGACGAUAAGUCUGUUAUUGCUGCAGCAGUGUGUGUGGGAGGAGAAGAGGAAAGCAGUGAGACAGAAAGAGAAGGCAGCACGGGCCAAAAAGAGAUAUUAUCAAGCCAAACUACGGAAGAUCGGCACAGAUCAUCCACCUUCCAGCAGUGACAGCGAGGAUAACGAACAUCUACAGAUGUAAACUCAGAUGUUUAUGACGUCUUAGCUAUGUUUGCUUUCUUUUUGAAAGUCAUGUUUUAUUCUUGCAAUGCUGUUUAUUUAUAAAACAAUAUAUUUUUUAUUGUGGACUAAACUUAACUGGUGUUUAGGAAUGUACCAUGUGUAUCAUAUGGAGGGGGGAAUUCACUCAAGCAGGCUUUGUUCCAAUAGCCGAUAAAAAUCUCAUUUCCAUUCAUACUCUCUCUCAACCCUGAUGAUGUGUUCCAUUCAAUCAACAGUGGGAUAGUUCAUCUGAAAAUUAAAAUUCAUAAUUUACUAACCCUCAUAUUGCUCCAAACUGUGUGACUUACUUUCUUCUGAAAAACACAAACGAAGAUAUUUUAAAAAUGCCUGUGUUUAUUUUGUCCAUGCAAUAGGAGUUAAUGGGUCCAGUGUUGUUUUUACCCCCACUGACUUUCAUUGUAUGCAAAACAGUUGAAAUAUUUCUCUAAAUAUCUUCUUUUGUGUUCUGCAGAAGAAACCAAGUCAUACAUGUUUGGAGCAACAUAAGGAGAAGUAAAUGGAUGAACCGGCCCUUUAAAGGCUCUCCGUUGUCCAACAGACUUAGAUUAUGACAUAUAAAUAUAUAUGGUAUAUGGGAAGUAUGGGACUCCACACUUCACAUCACUUUCACUAAAGAAUCAAAUGGUAAUGCUAAUGUUAGUGUUGCAAUUGUCAACAAAGAAGCCUUCUAGCAUCCAGUUUGCAGAGGAUAAACAGUGCUGUGCAAUACUAAUAUUUGUUUUACAUGAGCAAAAUUAUCAACAUAAACGUUCAUUUGCCAUUUUUUACAAGCAUUUAAGAUUUUAUAAUAAUGUAAAUUUAAUUACGUUGACCUGUUUAUAAAUUGAAUUUGCUUAAAAGAGUGAAUGUUUAUCAUGCACUGCACUAAGUCUUUCUGGGUCUUAUGUUUGAGUGAUAUCAUAUAACCAAAACCAUUGAAAAUCUAAUGUUAUGGAAGUUUUCCAAAUGGGAAAUUAGAAACUGAAGUGCAAUGAUCGAACAGGCUCAUCUAGUGCAUGUUUACAAUGGAAAAGCAGAGCAGUGUAAUGCAGAAAUGUGUUCUGUGUGAACAGCCCAAAGCCCUCACACAGUCAGAAUCAAUCAGUGAGGAGAUAUUUAGUCCUGAUACUUGUGCUUGAUGAGAAGAGGAAAUGAACUGAAAUGAGAUUUCUAAUGUUACUGCAUAGCAUUUUAAUUUAAUGUGUGUGGGUCAAACCAAGGAUUGAUUAAGGUUCUCAAAGGCCCCCGUUUGAUGCCUUUACAUUACAAUAUAAAUAGCAUGAAACAUUACAUUACAAAUUACUGUAUGUAGUUUUAUUAAUUAGACAGAGCACAACAUAUAUGGAAAACAUUUCAGGGGUCAUUGCCAGUCCAUAAUCUAUCCUUGGAUCCAACUCAUUUGACUGUUUUAGGACAGUGUCCUCAGGACCAACCUUUGGAUUGAGUUCACUGUAGCUCAUUUAUACUAUGCAGAUUUUUGUUUUGUUUUUUCAGGUAAAUAAGUGCUUUUCUUAAAUUGACUUCCUACUCAUGGAGUGGUUGAAUUUAGUUCAGUGUUGUUAAUUUACUUGUCUUAGUAUACAGUGUUUGGGAACAGAGCCCUCUGUUCUUUUUCAAAAUAUGAAAAAGCUGGAAAUUCUGUCAUCAUAUUCAUACCCUUAUGAUUUUUCCAAACCUAUAUGUUCUAUGUUGCAAGAAAUAAAGUCGUAGAGGUUUGGAACA